AACGUAGGGUGCGAGCGUUGUCCGGAAUUACUGGGCGUAAAGAGUGCGUAGGCGGUUUUCUAAGUUUGGUGUGAAAUCUCCCGGCUUAACUGGGAGGGUGCGCCGAAGACUGGAAGGCUUGAGUAUGGGAGAGGUAAGCGGAAUUCCUGGUGUAGCGGUGAAAUGCGUAGAUAUCAGGAGGAACACCUGCGGUGUAGACGGCUUACUGGACCAUAACUGACGCUGAGGCACGAAAGCGUGGGUAGCAAACAGG
rnacentral:rRNA from 1 species